rnacentral:rRNA from 1 species
AGCGUUGUUCGGAUUUACUGGGCGUAANGGGUGUGUAGGGGGUCGUGUAAGUUUGACGUGAAAUCCCGUUGCUCAACAACGGAACUGCGUCGAAUACUGCUCGGCUGGAGGUUCGGAGAUGAGGGCGGAAUUCUCGGUGUAGCGGUGAAAUGCGUAGAUAUCGAGAGGAACGCCGAUGGCGAAAGCAGCCCUCAAGACGAAAUCUGACCCUGAAACACGAAGGCCAGGGGAGCAAACGGGAUUAGAUACCCCGGUAGUCCUGGCAGUAAACGGUGCUCAUUAGAUGUAGGCGGAUUCGACCCCGCCUGUGUCGAACCUAACGGAUUAAAUGAGCCGCCUGGGAAGUACGGUCGCAAGAUUAAAACUCAAAGAAAUUGACGGGGGCCCGCACAAGCGGUGGAGUAUGUGGCUUAAUUCGAUGCAACGCGAAGAACCUUACCUGGCCUUGACAUGCUUAGUUCAAGCGUGGAAACACGCUGGCCCGCAAGGGCGAUCUGCACAGGUGCUGCAUGGCUGUCGUCAGCUCGUGUCGUGAGAUGUUGGGUUAAGUCCCGCAACGAGCGCAACCCUCGUGGUUAGUUAUUCCCGGGCAACCGGAAUCUGACCAGACUGCCCUGUGAAACGGGGAGGAAGGUGGGGACGACGUCAAGUCCGUAUGGCCCUUACGGCCAGGGCUGCACACGUACUACAAUGCCCAAUACAGAGGGACGCAAGACCGCAAGGUGGAGCUAAUCCCGUAAAGUUGGGCCCAGUUCGGAUUGGAGGCUGCAACUCGCCUCCAUGAAGUUGGAAUCGCUAGUAAUGGCGCAUCAGCUACGGCGCCGUGAAUACGUUCCCGGGCCUUGUACACACCGCCCGUCACAUCAUGAAAGCCGGUUUUACCCAAAGUCGCCUCCGGGUGCCUAAGGUAAGGCUGGUGAUUGGGAUGAAGUCGUAACAAGGUAACCAAGGGCGAA